GAUGAAGAACGUAGCGAAAUGCGAUACUUGGUGUGAAUUGCAGAAUCCCGUGAACCAUCGAGUCUUUGAACGCAAGUUGCGCCUCAAGCCAUUAGGUUGAGGGCACGUCUGCCUGGGCGUCACAUAUCGUUGCCUGAUGCCAGUUUCCUCGUGAUGGGUGACUGUGCAGGGCGAAUGAUGGCUUCCCGUGAGCAUUGUUGCCUCAUGGUUGGUUGAAAAUUGAGUCCUUGGUAGGGAGCGCCGUGUUAGAUGGUGGUUGAGUGACGAACGAGACCCAAUCAUGUGAGACCCCUACCGAAUUUGGCCUUCAUGACCCACAUGCGUCUUUGGAACGCUCAUGACGAGACCUCAGGUCAGGCGGGGCUACCCGCUGAGUUUAAGCAUAUCAAUAAGCGGAGGA
rnacentral:misc_RNA from 1 species